rnacentral:rRNA from 1 species
GACGAAGGGGGCUAGCGUUGUUCGGAAUUACUGGGCGUAAAGCGCGUGUAGGCGGUUGUCCAAGUUGGAUGUGAAAGCCUUGAGCUUAACUCAAGAAAUGCAUUCAGGACUGGAUGACUAGAGGACCGGAGAGGAUAGUGGAAUUCCCAGUGUAGUGGUGAAAUACGUAGAGAUUGGGAAGAACACCAGUGGCGAAGGCGGCUAUCUGGACGGUUUCUGACGCUAAGACGCGAAAGCGUGGGUAGCAAACAGG